GUUCUCACACGUUAGCAUUAGGGCAGUUACCCCAGGACCUCCUCUGUUGCUUGGGUUUGCUCCAUGUUUUAAACAGUCUUCUAACAUUUUUAGCGUUUCAUGAGCUUGCCAAAACUGAAGCAUUUCUUCUAAAAGCGAGUGCCAGGCAUACUUGAACUCCACAUAAAUCAUUCCAUCUCUCAGAAGGCGUUCAAUUUCUGAAUAAGAAUAAAGCAUAAUUAU
rnacentral:lncRNA from 1 species